ACCAUUGGCAAGGAGCAUCUCCGUGCCUAGAUUCUCGGAGAAGCCGAAAACAAGGCUUGACUGUGGCUCGGAAAAUGGCAUAAAAAAAUUUCCCAUGAAUUUUUACUAUGACGGAAAAACUUCUAGUCUCAAUGUCUCUAUGGAUAAGGCAGCAAAUAUUCUAGCGUUUGCAGAAAGGUCAAAAUUUAAUGAUGCAUUAUCAUCCGGAAAAAAAAUCUCUGUGGAAACAUUAA